rnacentral:tRNA from 1 species
GCCCCUUUAGCUCAAUUGGUAGAGCAACGGUAUCGUAAACCGUAGGUUGUCAGUUCGAAUCUGAUGAGGGGCUCAA